AUAAGAUUUUAGCAAUUUUUCAUCUUUAAUAUUCUCUAGAGCACUUUAAAAUUUGAUUUCAUCAAGCUGAUCUUUCAACAGAUUUAAGCUUUCUGUUACUAUUUAGAUUUUAGUUCCCACAAGAAAGGAAGGGUUGCAGACCCUAUAUAACACUCCUCAUCCUUCAACAAACUUCAAGCCUUGUACUCAUAUUUUUCCUCCUGCUCUCAUAGAAACCCAUAAACAUGAAAAAGAGUUAUCUUGCAUGGAUUCUCAUCCUGUUAUAUGCUCAAAUACUCCUACCAAGCUUGGUUCAAGCAAAUCCCCAGAAAUUGGAGCAAGAAAAUCACCGUGAGAAAUAAAUUAAUCAUUGACCGUCUGUUUUAUAUUGAGAUUCGGUUCCAUUUAAAAUUUAAAUUCAGUUUAAUGUUUGAUAUGCAGGCACAAGCAGAAAAGUGGAUUAUGAUGCAAAUGCUCAUGAUAAAGCAUUUGUAGCAGAAAAUGAAACAAUUUGGACAAAAAAGGAACGGUCGGGGAGAGGACCUAAUGGUGGUCCAUAUGUGAAUCAACAUCGACCCAAAAAAAAUGCAGCAGCACUGUUAUAUACACCUUCGUUGGUCAUUUUUAUGAUGUUUUUUUCUCCUACCGUCGCCUUUGCCUAGAUGUUUUGUGUGAGCUUAGAACUUUAUCUCUUUCAGCUCAUUUUGGUGUUGGGUUUCCAUAAUUUUCUCGAUUUGAUCAUGGCUGUAAUUACACUGACGUGUUCUGUUUGAUUUUAUUAAUGUUCAAGACGUACUUAAUAUCAAUUAUACUUUCUUCAGAUUUAUGUUGUAUUACACUGUAGAUUACCAAAAAUUCCUUAUAAAGAAUCAUAUCAU
rnacentral:lncRNA from 1 species